ensembl:snRNA U6 U6 spliceosomal RNA
GUGCUCGCUUCAGCAGCACAUAUACUAAAAUUGGAACGAUACAGAAAAGAUUAGCAUGGCCUCUGCGCAAGUAUGACACACAAACUAGUGAAGCAUUCCAUAUUAUA